UUGUGGGACUUGUGUUAGGGAUUGGACAUUACUGGCUGGCUCAGGGGUAGAGUAGAAAGAAUGCAUGCUGUACAGAAAAGAAAGUAAGGCCUGAUCAGUGUGGAUGGGUGGUGGAGGGGGUCACGGGGGCUUCAUAAGUCUGGCUGCUCAAGGGGAAAUGGCUGUUGGUUCUUUUGUUGGCUCUCACAACAUCUUUGAUACAAAUUAUUGGAAUUGCAGGGCUUUGUUUGGUGGGGCUGGCCUGUUGCUGUCCACGUCACACUGUGCAGCCACAGCUUCCUUGUUGCAGUGAUUGGAUACUGCCAUUCCCUGUCCUCUGUAAGCACCACUGAUAUAAUCUUCUUCCAGCGUUCAAGAUUGGGCUUGCCCAUGUCACCUGUUUGUCUCUCCAUAUUCCACAAUGAGGACAAAAUAUUCCUGUAGAGUAGCCCCUAGUGGUAUUUGUCAAGUGGAAACUGCAGAAUGAUACCAUUUAACUGAAGAGGAUGAAGAUUCUUGUUUUUGUUUUUUUAAUUCAUGAGAAUAUCCUUGGUUGCACUCAGAGAACUCUCCACAUUUGGAAAAGGUCUCAGGGCUUUUAGACUCUCAGCUCAAACUCCAAGCUUUUCAGGGACCACUUAGCAUUAGAGAUACCUGUGCAGCCAGCCCACUCUCCAUAUUUCUUAGACUAAGAUACAUCACCAGUGAUUUGGAAUAAAUAAUAGAGAUGCUGAGCAGAGACAAGUCUGGAUUAAUGAAGCAUCUUAAUUUUGUAUUGCCUGGGAUAUUGGUCCUUACAGCCACUUAAAAUUGUUAAUAAGAAUUAUUCUUGUGUUUUCCAUAAUGGUUAGCUGGAUAUUUCUUGAAUAGAUUAGCUAUCCCUCUGUUUAUCUCAUUUAAAAUACUCACUGGUUAAGUCAUCACCAAUUUCACAUGUGUGGAGUCCAAAUCAGUGGGUCUGUCAUGUAGACCAGGCUUAUGCUUGGAUUACAAGAAGUUAUGCUCCAGUCACUUAUAGGUGCACCCACAGAGUCAGAGCCCAUGCAAAGGGCUGCAUCUCUUAAGGAAUUAUAAAUGAACAAAAGAGAGAAAGUUUUAUGCAUCUAGAAGAAAAACCGGAUGCUACAAAAUGGAGGGGGAGAUGCAAGAUUUUUUCUCAGAAAAGCAAAUAUCUACUUCUGGUCACUGAGCACCUCUGCCUGGCCUGCUACUACUUUUCUGAAUUUUUCACUCAACAUACCUUGACCCAAUGCCUACUCUGCCCAGGCACUGCCUUCUGUCUUAUGCCUCACAGGUCCCUUUUCUUUAGUGGCUCUUCAGUUAAAGUGAGAAGUGUGAAGGGUGGUUGAAGGCUUAUUUGUAGCUCCUGCUGCUGCUGAUCAUUGGCUUCACUUCACUUCACUGCCCCUGUUCAUUACUUUGACAUUUGGUGAGUUGAGAUCUACCCUCCCCUCACUGCUCUGAAAGGUUUCAGUGUCUUUAGCCAAAAAACAGCAUUCACUGUGUACAAUGACGUGUAUGCUGCCAAUGCUGAAUGAGAGCUGAGCUUGGAGGCCUUCCUCAGUGACUCAGCUAGUACUGCAUUUUGAUAGAGUGGAGGGCCCUGCAGGAGGAAAUAUUUGAGAUGUAUGCAGAGGACGGUGAGGUGUCCUGGGCUGGGGACCUCAGUUAUUACACUGGCAUCUUUAAGCUGCACAGCUUUGGUUUAUUGCCAAUAAAGCUUAAGUAGCUAGACAAGUUCUUUUGGGUUUUCCAAAUCCCAGCGCUUUGAUGACAGGACAUCUCUGAAGAAGGUAUCUUACUAAGAUCACCUCCUGGUGGCCCAUUCUCCCAUUUGUUCAGACCCUUGAGCAACUGCCAUAGGCAUACAUGCACCCAUCCAUUGGAGCUCUAUGUUGGCCUGCUUCCUGUUGUAGACUUUCUUAAUGUUGCCACCACCCACCCUCACUUAACUACUUCAUUAGUCCCAUUCUCUGAGGGCCCCAUUCUACUCAAUGAUAAAGGGUAAUUGAGGCACCAGAUACAUGAACCCAUGCUAAUCUCUUGCUUCUCUCAAGCAAGAAUGUUUCCAUAUAGUGUCACUGCACAUUCUAGAAGGGACUAAUGUUGAAUCUUUGUUUCUGAAUUCUGUCACUGAAUUGUGAAGCUUUUGGACAUUUGACAAGUCAGUGGAAGAACUUUUGGUGAUGGUGGUGUCCCUUGCUAUUUCCUUUUGAUAUUCCUUGGAAAUAACCAUCUUUUUAGCCAUGUGCAAAAAUCAGAGUGAGCAUUUGGCAUACACUUGGAUGUCAUGGGCUAAGUGGUUGAGAUUCUUAAGAUACUGUACAGAAAUGCAAAGGUUCAAAUAGACACAGUCACUCUAGAGUGGAAGGUGGAAGGCCAUGCUUUAGCAAAAGCAAUGGAAAAAAACCCAAUUCUACAAAGGGAAGUCCCCAUUCUAUAUAGGACCUGCUGCCAAUAUUCAAAUUUGGUGCUACUAGAGGUUAGCUAUAUGUUACCCCAAGUAGAAGAGAGAUUAACAUCCUUCCCACCACUGCGUCCAGUCACUAAAGCUCCCAAUUCUUCCUCCUCAAUAAGUUUUCCACCUUUCAAUGACCAUUUUCACAGCUUUAGUUAGGAUGUUCAUUGAUGUAAAUCUGAACAAUGGCAGCAGAUAACUCAUUUGUUCCCCUACUCCCCACCAUAGUCUUUAGUUUCUGCCUACUACAAUCCUCUCUAUGCAGCACAUAAUAGACACUGCAGAGUGUUUCUUCAGCUGAAUGAAAUGCCACAAAUUCAUUUAUCUAUAGCAUGGUUGCAAUGGGGUCCAUUUGUGUUUUCUUUGUUAAUUGAGGUAUAUGAUUGACAUAUAACAUUAUAUUAAUUUUGGUGAUGAUUCGGUCCAUUCUUGCUCAAACUCAUCCUAUAGUUCUCCUUUGCCUGCUGAAAUAGGUACAAGCUCCAUAAAUGUCCCUUCGCAGUCUUUCCAGUUCCAUCUUCCACUGUGCUCCAAGAUGGACCCAAGGCUCACCACAUUCAACUUAGUCUUUGUCCUUUUCCCAUCGGCAAAUACUUUCUGUGUGUCCAACCCAUCCUAUCUGAAGUUCCUCCAUUUGUCUCCUUCAGGGUAAAUCCUAAACAUUCUUCAAGGUCCAUGAAAUGUCUUGACCAUUUGGUAUGAAAUAACCACCUCCUCUCAGUACUUUCUACCCGUCCUUUGGCUCCCCCCAGAUUAUUUUACCCUGUGUCACUUAUCACCAUCCGAAAUGCAUUUUACUUGUUUAUUAGAAUAUAUGUUCCAUGAUGGCAGGGGUCUCUAUAGUUUUGAUUACUGUUAGAUCCCCAGUACUGACUAGAUUAUUAAUAUUUUUGAAUGAAUACAUGAAUAUAAUUUAUCAUGAAGCCCUACUGAACAUCUCGGUUGGAAGUUCUGUCUCCAUCGUUGGUGAUGUUUUGGCACUUUGUUUAUAUUGUUCUUCUCAUAUAGUGCCUUGUACUGUGAGUAUAUGGUUAUUUCUUAUAUACCUACAUACAUUUCUAGUAUAGUGAGGCUAAAAUGCAUUUGUUUUGAAAUUUAAAAUAACUCAGUUGGACAAUGAGAUAUUACCACAUACCCACCACUAUGACUAAAAUUAAGAAGACCAACAAAACCAAGUGUUGGUGAGGAUGUGGAGGAAUUAGACCUGGUAAACAUUGCUGAUAGGAGUGUUAAAAUGGUACAACCACUUUGGGAAAAGGAUCUGGCAAUUUCCUAUAAAAGUGAAAAUAUAUCUACCCCAAGACCCAUCAAUUCCACAUCUAGAUAUAUACCUCAGAGACAUGAAAAUAUACGUACAGGUCACAAAGAAUUGCACACAAAUGUUCAUACCAGCAGUAUUCAUAAUAGUCAGAAAGUGAAAACAGUGCCCAUUAAUGAGAGAAUGGGCAAAUAAACUGGGGUAUAUCCAUAACCACUCAAUAAUAAAAUGGAAAAAAAUGCUGAUUUACAAAACCACAUGGGUCAAUUCUUAUGCAGAAGGUACAUACCUUAUAAUGCUGUUUAUGUACACUUUAGAACAGAAAAAAAUAUGGUAGAACAAUGUCAGAAUAGGGGUUGCCUGUGGGGAUGGGAGUGGAAUUAACUGAGAAGGAGCAUGUGAGAAAUUUCUAGGGGAAUGGUAAUGUUCUAAAUCUUUAUAAGGGUUUGGGUAGCUGAUUUUUCAAAACCCAGCAAAUGGCACGUGUAAUAUUUGUGCAUUUCAUCAUAAGUAAAUUUUAUAUAAAACCUCCCACAAACAAAUAUUAAAUACUAGUUGAUAAUAUGCAUGCUAUAAUCAUAUAUCAUAUAGGUUAAAGCAUAUUGAUAUCUGCAAAUAAUUUGAAAUGCACCAGAAUUAAGAUGUAUUUAUUGAUGAAUAGAGGAUGGAUAAAUGGAUAAGCCAAAUGUAAAAAAAAGU